AUGUCUACUCCCAGACACGCUUCCGGUAGGCACUCCUUCUCCUGUGUGGAGGGGAGACAAUCUCUCCUCGGGGGUAACCGCGUCCCCCGCAGAUCCCAGUCGGCCCUAGAACGACCCAAGUCCAAAUCACGCGCGUCGCUGGGGGACCCGUUCAGGUUUACAAAAGCCGAGCUGGAGUGGUACCUGCCCCGGAAGAGUUUUUUCGACUGUCACGACAAGGCCUUGAAAGAAGCGGGCGUGGAGAGCGCUGAGACAACAAACCGAAAGGAACAGAUGAAGCAGAGGGUGGCUGAAAAGAUCAAGAAAGAGAAGGAUCUAAGGGAAAGGCGGAAAGAGCUAGAGAACCCUAAGCCAGAGGAAACAAAGACCGAGGCUACUUCUACUCAAGAAGACAGCCAAUCCAUUAACGCGGAUACAAGGAGCGAAAAAGACGCAGACACCAAGAGUGAAAUUGACAACUUCGAAACAGAAGAUGAUGUAGUGAUAGCAAAGCUAGAGGAGGCACAGACAAUCAUGAGUAAACCUUCACCCUCUAAAAAAGUGUCGCGUCACAAGAAGAAGACCCACGACUUCGACGAAGACGAGGUUCGCGUGGACUACCAGCCCCUUCUCCAUUAUCUCAAAUACGUCCAGGAACAUCCGGACGAGUUCCACGCCCACCGUAAACAAAGCAUCCAGCAGGAUCACGUGGGGUCCAGGGCUAGCCCGUGGAUCGUCAGGCUAGCAGAGAUAACCGAGAGGCGAAACAUGACCACGGCCCAGUGUCUGGUGACCAAGAGUGUGGUAUUAGAGGCAGCGCGUGACAUACGGCCACGGAUGACCGAUCCAGGCCAAUGGACCAUGUCGCAAAAGGAGAGGGCGUUGUUAGGAAACUUGAAUCCUGGAAAAGGAAAUCUGUUUGCCGCGGUGAAGCAAGACUUGCCGACCCACGACUCCCAGAACCAAGACGAUGGAAAGUCGGACUUUGAAAAGGAGAAAGCGAAACUGGAGAAGUGGCUGAAAACCGUUUCUACUGCUGGGUUAAUAAAAGCUAAGGAGCUGGCGCUGCGAGAUCUUGGAGAAGAGGACAUUUACCAGAGUAAGUGGUGGUCGUCUCUACAGACCUGCUCCUACCUCCGACAGAAGGGGAUCAACUCCACGUAGGCCCUCUGUAUGUGUUGUAUCUAAAACAAGUCCGACAGAAGGGGAUCAACUCCACAUAGACCCUCUGUAUGUGUUGUAUCUAAAAACAAGUCCGUCCAGUGCAUUUAUUCAAAAGAUAUUGCAUUAAAUUUUUAUUAUUUUUUUCUACUUUAGUUGAAUUAAAAUUCAAUAACAUUG
rnacentral:misc_RNA from 1 species